rnacentral:rRNA from 1 species
GGGGCACGGGGGGAGGAAAGCAGGGGAUCGCAAGACCUCGCGCUAUUGGAUGAGCCAAAGUCGGAUUAGCUAGUUGGUGUGGUAAUGGCCUACCAAGGCGACAAUCCGUAGCUGGUCUGAGAGGACGACCAGCCACACCGGAACUGAGACACGGUCCGGACUCCUACGGGAGGCAGCAGUGGGGAAUAUUGGACAAUGGGGGAAACCCUGAUCCAGCGACGCCGCGUGUGUGAAGAAGGCCUGCGGGUUGUAAAGCACUUUUAGUGGGGACAAAAAGUCAUUGAUUAAUACUCGGUGUUCUUGAUUUAACUCACAGAAAAAGCACCGGCUAACUCUGUGCCAGCAGCCGCGGUAAUACAGAGGGUGCGAGCGUUAAUCGGAAUUACUGGGCGUAAAGCGCGCGUAGACGGU